rnacentral:rRNA from 1 species
GACGAACGCUGGCGGCGUGCUUAACACAUGCAAGUCGAACGGAAAGGCCCUGCUUUUGUGGGGUGCUCGAGUGGCGAACGGGUGGGUAACACGAGAGUAACCUGCCCUGGACUCUGGGAUAACUUCAGGAAACUGGGGCUAAUACCAGAUAGGAGCUCCUGCGGCAGGGUGGGGGUUGGAAAGUUUCGGCGGUUGGGGAUGGACUCGCGGCUUAUCAGCUUGUUGGGGGGGUAGUGGCUUACCAAGGCUUUGACGGGUAGCCGGCCUGAGAGGGUGACCGGCCACAUUGGGACUGAGAUACGGCCCAGACUCCUACGGGAGGCAGCAGUGGGGAAUAUUGCACAAUGGGCGGAAGCCUGAUGCAGCAACGCCGCGUGCGGGAUGACGGCCUUCGGGUUGUAGACCGCUUUCGCCUGUGACGAAGCGUGAGUGACGGUAAUGGGUAAAGAAGCACCGGCUAACUACGUG